AUUGAACGCUGGCGGCAGGCCUAACACAUGCAAGUCGAACGGUAACAGGAAGCAGCUUGCUGCUUCGCUGACGAGUGGCGGACGGGUGAGUAAUGUCUGGGAAGCUGCCUGAUGGAGGGGGAUAACUACUGGAAACGGUAGCUAAUACCGCAUAAUGUCGCAAGACCAAAGAGGGGGACCUUCGGGCCUCUUGCCAUCGGAUGUGCCCAGAUGGGAUUAGCUUGUUGGUGGGGUAACGGCUCACCAAGGCGACGAUCCCUAGCUGGUCUGAGAGGAUGACCAGCCACACUGGAACUGAGACACGGUCCAGACUCCUACGGGAGGCAGCAGUGGGGAAUAUUGCACAAUGGGCGCAAGCCUGAUGCAGCCAUGCCGCGUGUAUGAAGAAGGCCUUCGGGUUGUAAAGUACUUUCAGCAGGGAGGAAGGGAGUAAAGUUAAUACCUUGGCUCAUUGACGUUACCCGCAGAAGAAGCACCGGCUAACUCCGUG
rnacentral:rRNA from 1 species